UACGAAGGGUGCAAGCGUUAAUCGGAAUUACUGGGCGUAAAGCGUGCGCAGGCGGUUUGUUAAGUCUGUUGUGAAAUCCCCGAGCUCAACUUGGGAAUUGCAAUGGAUACUGGCAGGCUGGAGUAUGGUAGAGGAAGGUGGAAUUCCCGGUGUAGCAGUGAAAUGCGUAGAGAUCGGGAGGAACACCAGUGGCGAAGGCGGCCUUCUGGACCAAUACUGACGCUCAUGCACGAAAGCGUGGGGGGCAAACAGG
rnacentral:rRNA from 1 species